GAAAACCUCUCCUUCUUCUUCACGCCGCCUCACUCUCUCUCUCUCUCUCUCUCUCUCUCUCUCUCAAUCCUCACCUCACCAACAACACUUAUUAACACACCCACACACUGUCACUCCCUUUGCACUUCCCUUUUGUUUUAAUUUACCAAAAACACCCUCUUUCUCUUCUCCAAUUCUCUCCCAAACACUCUCUCUUUGCUCCUCUCUCUGUAUAUGUCUCUGUUUUCUCUCUCACUCUGAUACCACUGCCCCUCAUUGCCUUUUUCUCACUCCCACGAUCAUCUGGGUUUUCUCACAUUUGAUCAACCAUCGAAUUUGGGGUUUAUCUGUGGAGUUGGCUUGCCUGCUAGUGCUUGCUCUGUUUGCCAGAGGGCAUUCUUAAACAGACUGUGAAUACGAUAUGGAAGAAGGAAGAACUGAACUAGAGUUUGAUGAAUUCGAGAAGCUUCUUGGAGAGAUACCAAAUGCUACUUAUGUGAACCCACAUUCUGAGGAAUCUGGAACUAAAAGUGUGUCUCUGAAUGGAAGCUUGUCUCCCAUCUGUGUGAACUCCUACAAAGGGCCUUUAAGUGAGAAACUCCAUAACAACGGCAGGCGGAAUGAGGGAAAGAACUCAGUGAAGAAAAUUCAGAAAUCACCUGUGGAAAGGGGUCAGCCAGAGGUGACAAAUCUGCCUGAUGACCGAUCCUUAACAUCUGCAUUUGCAGGACUGAGCUUUGAUGGUGGGGUCACUAUGGAAGCUGGAAGUCACGAGGAAACUUGUAAAUCCAUGCAGAACUUCUCCUUUUCAUUGAAUGGCCAAAUCCCAAACAGCUUAAAGACGCAUAUUUCCGAUUUAGAUACUCCAGUCAUGGUCGUUCCCUCUUUCCAAACACCGAAUAACACACCUUGUGGCUUUUAUGAGUUUGAUGUGACAAAAAUAGGCCAAGAAAGUUCAAAUAUGUCAAAAUUCAAUUCUGAAGAGCUUAAGAAACCCCAGGUUGUCUAUUCACAGCCUAUGGAAAAUUUAUCUUCUGCUGUUCCUCUAGCUCAUGCAGUGCAAGGUUUUCAGUUCCUCUCCAAUGUGCCUGGCCCUGGUCUGCAGUUUCCUCUAACAUCUGAUCCGCAGCAAUUCUUUCUGGAUGCACAAUCUCGUAGUCCUUACCUACGUUCACAACAGUUGAACCAGAAUCAAGUUAGUUGGAGGAAUAUGGAAGAGGAACAAUAUUAUAGGAUGCAGCAAAGAUAUGUGUACUUGCAACAGCUUCAUGAUCAGCGGUUGGAAGCUCAGCAUCUGGUUCAAGGAAGUGGGAAUAUUGCAAGCAGGCUAACAUGUCCAAACCCCAGGCAUCCCCAUUUUGAGGUGCCAAUCUCCCAUCGGCUCGAACAAUCUAAUCAAGAACGAGUUUGGAACAAUUAUGCGAUUCCCAGGGGUCCACACCAAUCAAAUCCUGCCCUUUCUUACACAGAUUUUAAUGGGAUUCAAGUUUUUGACAAGGUGGGGAAACAGAGUUUUCCUGAGAAGAUUCUAACAAGAUCACAUGGAAUGAACACACUUAAGGCUGUGAAGUUUGGUGCUGUUGGAGCAGAUGAAUCACUUGCUCAUGUUAGUCACAAUGGAAAAGUUCUCUCAAAUGGUCAUUUCCGGCAUACCUUAUCUACUCAAAACACUGGAUGUUUUCAGUUGGAUAGUUUAAGCACAUGGGGUAUGUUCCCUAGUUUGAUGCACCUUAAGAAUACAGAUAUGAAGGCAUUGCCUCAGAAAUAUACCGACAUGAAGGCAUUGCCUCAGAAAUAUAACUCCAUGGAUGAAAUUACUGGUAGAAUUUAUCUCAUGGCUAAGGACCAGCAUGGUUGCCGCUUCUUACAAAGAAAAUUUUCUGAAGGCGCCCAAAAGGAUGUUGAGAAUAUUUUCUUUGAAAUAAUAGAUCACAUUGUUGAGCUCAUGACAGAUCCUUUUGGGAAUUACCUCAUCCAGAAGCUGCUUGAAGUGUGUGGUGAGGUUCAGAAAAUGCAAAUUCUUCAUUCAAUCAUUAAAAAGCCGGGAGAACUCGUUAGGAUUUCAUGUGAUAUGCAUGGGACUCGGGCUGUUCAAAAGGUUAUUGAAACCCUCAAAACUCCGGAGCAGUUUUCCAUGGUCGUUUCCUCCCUAAAGCCAGGGAUAGUGACUUUGAUAAAAAACACAAAUGGCAACCAUGUUGCACAACGCUGCUUGCAGUAUUUAACGCCUGAAUAUCGUGAGUUUCUUUUUGAAGCUGCAACUACUAAUUGUGUAGAGCUUGCAACGGAUCGCCAUGGCUGUUGCGUGCUUCAAAAAUGCCUUAGCCAUUCUGAUGCUGAACAAAGAAACCGAUUAAUCUGCGAGAUCACUUUGAAUGCUCUAAUCCUUUCCCAAGAUCCAUUUGGGAACUAUGUUGUGCAAUUUGUCUUUGAACUUCAGCUUCCAUGGGUAACUGUAGAUAUUCUUGACCAGUUGGAGGGUAAUUAUGGGGAUUUGUCUGUGCAGAAGUAUAGCAGUAAUGUGGUUGAAAAAAGCCUGAAAUAUGCAGGUGAAGAGCGGCGCAUACGCAUUAUUCAGGAGCUGAUAGAAAAUCCGCGCUUGGAUCAAAUCAUGCAAGACCCUUAUGGCAAUUAUGUUAUCCAAGCAGCACUCAGUCAAUCAAAGGGAAAUUUUCAUUCUAAACUGAUGGAUGCAAUAAAACCUCAUGUGCCUGUGCUUCGGACCAGUCCUUACGGGAAGAAAAUCCUCUCUAGCAAUAUUUUGAAGAAAUAAUCUGUUGGUUUUAAUUAUUUGAAAGAAUUCCUGUAAAUCUGUAAUAAGCAGCAGGUUUUGACUACGUCAGAGCAAUCUCGCAUUACACGAGAUCCAUAUGUUUGUAGAUAAGCGGCUUCUUUUUGUUCCUUUAUUUUUGCAUAGAAUAAAAGCAGUGUGAAGAUGUAGAGUUGUUUGAGCUAUGGAGAAGUGUACCAUGGUUGAGUGUCUUGGCUGAAGCCGUAGCUAGUUGGAUGGUGUCAAGAUGGAGCAAUUGGAAGUUAUCUGUUUUUUCAUGUGAGACAUUUUAGCAAUGUAAAUCUAACAUCUAUAGAUUACCAUAAUGAGCUUCAUCUA